rnacentral:rRNA from 1 species
GACGAACGCUGGCGGCGUGCUUAACACAUGCAAGUCGAGCGGAGCGGCGAACGGGUGAGAAACGCGUGAGUAACUGCCCCCCUCUCUGGGAUAACAGUUGGAAAAGGCUGCUAAUACCGGAUAGUGGGGGAUGACUCGCGUCCUAUCAGCUUGUUGGUGGGGUAGUGGCCUACCAAGGCGACGACGGGUAGCCGGCCUGGGAGGGCGAUCGGCCCCAUUGGGCUUGGGAGCCGGCCGAACUCCUUCGGGGGGCAUGAGUGGGAACUAUUGCACAAUGGGGGAAAGCCUGAUGCAGCAACGCCGCGUGGGGGAUGACGGCCUUCGGGGUGUAAACCGCUUUCAGCCAUGACUCGGUAGUGGCAGAAGAAGCACCGGCUAACUACGUGCCAGCAGCCGCGGUAAUAC